CCGGGGGCCGGAUGGCCGCGCAGGCUGCUACGGCGGCCUGGGAGGAAAGUCCGGGCUCCAUGGGCAGGGUGCCGGGUAACGCCCGGGCGUUUCGCGGGUAGACCGCGGGGCGACGGAUAGUGGCACAGAGACGAUACCGCCGAUGGCCUGACGAUUCGUCGUUGGGCACAGGCAAGGGUGAAAACGGGCGGUAAGAGCGCCCGGCCGACCGUGGUGACGCGGCGGCGGCCAAACCCCACCUGGAGCAAGGCCAAAUAGAAGGACGCGCGUCGAAAGACGGGCAGGGGAUCGCCCACCCCGUCCUCGGGUAGGCUGCUUGAGCGUCGGCGCAAGUCGGCGCCCAGAUGGAUGGCCAUCGACCGGUUGGCGGUGACGCCGACCGGGGACAGAACCCGGCUUACAGGCCUCCAGGACCU
rnacentral:RNase_P_RNA from 1 species